AUGAUUGCACUAUUCCAGAGGUGCAGCAACCUUAAAACCAUCUCACUUCGUCUCAUGCCUCUGCGAUGUGAAGAUGGUGAGUUUAGGACGCCAUUGACUAAUGCUAGCCUUAAGGCUCUAGCUCUUAGCUGCCCUAUGCUUCAGGUUGUUGAGCUCACCUUCACAUUUUGCGAUCCCAUUUAUCCUACUGAAAUAGGCUUCACACAAGAGGGUAUUGUAACGCUCAUCCAAUCAUGUCCGAUUCGUGCUCUUGUUCUAAAUGGUGCCAGCAGUUUUUAUGAUGAGGGGAUGAAGGGCCUCUCAUCCUCACAGUUUCUGGAGAAGCUUGAGCUUGUGGAUUGCAUGUUUAUAACUGAUGUUGGUAUGAGUUUCAUUAUACAGGCUCCUAGCUUGAGUAGUCUCACGCUCCGCAAAAAGAGAGUGACAGAUGGUGGAAUGGCUGCGUUGGCACGUGCACAGAAGCUGGAGUCGCUGAUCGUUAUAGGCUGCCGCCGGGUCUCUCAGGAAGGCGCGCAGAGAGCUGCCAAAACAGUUCACUACUCUGCGGAGGCUGAAAGCCAUGACAGCCUACAAGGAAUGAUCGCCAAAAGGAAUGGAUAG
rnacentral:rRNA from 1 species